UCUCACAUUGUCUAGCAGUUAGGAUUCCUGGUUUUCACCCAGGCGGACCGGGUUCGACUCCCGAUGUGGGAA
rfam:Myotis davidii contig78268, whole genome shotgun sequence.